CUGUUCUCCCCCACCCGUCAUCUUUAAUUUCUUAAUUCCUACAACACCUCAGAUGGCAAGUCAUCAGGUAUGACUAAGCAAGGACGUAUGCUCUGUAUUAAGACACAUUUCCCCCAUAACCCUUAAAGCAACCCUAAAGUUGGCCCGUAUUAAAGCCAAUUAUUAUUUAUAUCCCACUUUUCUCCCAGAAGAACUCAAAUGAGACUUGCAAAAAUUAAGCAAACACAUCACACAGAAACCUAAAAAGCUGUAAAAGAUAAUAAUUUAAAAAGUAGUUAAACUAUAAUACAAUUAAUCUGAUGUAACGAUGGGAGAUUAAUGACGUGUGGAAGUUAAGUGUACCUGGUAUAAAUUAAGCAGACUUGAAUAAAAAAACACAGGACUGGUUCCCACUAAGGUGGUAAACCUUAGGCUUCAAGUGGGUCUUUACAUCACUGCUUCUCAGUUUUCUGUACAUGGAAAACUUAGAGGGGUGGUGAGGGCUAGUCUGGAGGUCUUCCUGAAAGCCUCAUUUUCUGUAUGCAGGGACUAAAUAGCACAAGGAAGCCCAUGAUCAUGCGAGGCCACUUCAGGAUAUCAUUCAGCCACAGAUGGAUCCCAGUGCAAAGCGAGCAUCUGUGUAUUGGAUUAAACCGUCAGCCGCACAUUCUGCGCAAUCUUUGCAGGGUUGUACAAAAUAGAACUUGGAAAUCCUAUUUUGAGUUUAGGUAUUCCCCUGAAGUAUGCAUACCACUACAGGCUCUGGUGUUGCAAGUGAAGUCAGAAGGCCCGUUCAUACGCAGUUUUAUGCUCAUGUUGACUCAGUCGUAUGUGAGCCUAUCCCCAAAGGCCUUGAGGCUUAUGCACUCCCCUCCCAUCUUGCGUGACACCCUGCUGCCCUGAAGUAUGUGUUCGUUUGAAAAUUCACUGGUGCAAUACAAAGCAAAAUUUUCCCUUUCUUUACUAUGCUCCCUGUUUCUUUUUUCAGACUGGCAGGGACUGUAUGUCAGACUGAAUGCUUGGGAGGAUGGCAAGGGAAAUUGUGAAGUCUUCCAAGUGCUGCGCAAGGGUUCCUGGUUACUGCCCAAUGGAUGGCUUGAAGCAGAACGGCUGAGACUUGAAGGAGAAAUCAUUUCAGUGUCCCAUGAGUGUUGCUGUACAAUAAAUGCAUGGUUUUGCACCGUGGCAAAUUAAAAAGCAGUUUUGAGUUUUCAA